rnacentral:lncRNA from 1 species
CCAUCUCGUUAUCCAUCCACUCCAUGAUAACGACUUAUGAACAAGCUUUUGAUACACCUAUCCAUGUGACUCCCGUUUGUCUUUUGUUAAAGUCCUUGUCGGUAUGCUUGUUAAAGUCCUUGUCGGUAUGUUUUCCUUUUGUUAAAGUCCUUGUCAGUAUGCUUUACUUUCGUUAAAGUCCUUAUCGGCGUGCUUUACUUUUUUUUUAAAUGUCUUUAUUGGUGUGCUUUGCUUUAGAAUCAUUCGAGAGGUCCUAUUCUCAAUGAUUUUCUAUAAAUAGCACCUUCAGCUUCAGUUGAGGGGAGCUCAUCAAGAAAUAAAAAAUCCAAUUCUAUACAUUAUGUUUCCCUAAAACUCUCUCUCUCUUCUAGGAAUCAAAGCAAUUAUUUAGGUUACUAAUGAUACGCUCACUCCAAAUUUGCUAAACUGAGUAUGCUCUGCACUUGCCUUAAGCCUAAGGAUCCUGUGCAUCAGAAAAGUCCUGUUUUUAUCCUCCAAAACUGAUUUUAUAAAAUGACGGUAUUUUCUCACAACGUUCACCCUCUUUGAAGGCUCUGAGUGCCAAGUUUUUAGGUGGUAUCAUGAAAAACUAUUUUCAACUAUGAUUUCGGAUUUGGUAUUAAAUGGAUAAGUGUAUAUCGGCUGGAAACCAGAACUUGCGGGCUACUAGCCCUAAGAACAGACUUCGUUCUGUUAUAUCAGAAAUUGGUUGGUUUCCGGAUCUAUUACUGUUUUGGUUUUCCGUGGCUAAAAGAAAUCAAAGGGUUUUCUUUGGGGUGAUAAGCCCUAAACACACGACAAUCCUAGCCUUUUCAAGAGGGCGCCACACCUUACAGAAUCACUCUAUAGUGUUUUAGAAUGGAAAUUUGGAACAGGUAGAUUAGUAUCCAACAACUUUCUGAUGUGGAGGAUCCGAAGUAUUUCGGCAACCACAGAGCAUAAUAUUGUUGCACACCCAGGGGUUUCCUUUCGGGAAAUGUGGCUCUGAUACCAAUUCGAAAAAUAUAUGAAAACAGAGGAAGGUUACUUCAUUAAGAGGAAUGAGAGAUUUACAAAUACAAGAUUGCACUCCAAGACUCGAUGCCUAGAACUAAACCAAGGGUUCCCUUUUAUAGGCUCAAGGGAUCCACUAUUACACACUGUUUACAUUAUUGAUCCUUAUCACUAAGGAAUCUACUUUACAACUCAUCUCUUACUUUGUUUCUAACUCUUAUCCUUAUCUCUAAGGAGAGUAUACAAUACAUACGAAUACAAUACAUAUAUAUUAUUAUUAUCAGAGAUUGAAGUGAACUAUUAUGAGAACCAGUUAUCCUUCCUAGGGGAAUAAAGGAAAAGAGAGAAUUUUUAGAGAGCCAUGAUAUUGGAAAACUCGGAUUAUUAUUUCCAAAAACUGAUCUUAUUACAACUGAGGAUGUGAUGAGAACCAUCAAGGGAAUACCAUUAAAACUUCAAGUGAUCCUUUGCACAUUCAUGGAGGUCCAAUUACAAGAGCAAAAGCCAAAAAGAUGCAAGCUACUUUAAAUGGAUUAAUUGAGAAAAUAUGGAUUGAAAAUGCAAUUCAAGAUGCAAGACAUUAUGAAUUAGGCUUGAAGAGAAGACAAGGCAUUGUGGGCAUUAUUCAAGUUAUUGGGCAGCCAAAUACACAAUUUGUAUCAAAUGCAGAAAUGUCACAUUUGGAAUAAAAACUGUAUUGAUUGAGCUAGAAGUAAUGUGCAAGCUAUAUAUCUUGGAAAUAUAAUUAAGUUAGCUUUCCAAUAAAUUUUGCAGAUCUGGAUUUGGAGUUCUCUAGAAGAGUUAUGACCAAUUCAUUACAGCUUGUUCAGACUUGAGAUUUUCAACGACUCCUUUGUUUUUCAACUUCAUUUGUUUGUUUUGUUUCAAGUUUGUCAAUGUGUAAGUAAGUCUACAUCAAUGAUGGUGGGCUAACAU